GACGAACGCUGGCGGCGUGCCUAAUACAUGCAAGUAGAACGCUGAAGGAUGAGCUUGCUUCUCUGGAUGAGUUGCGAACGGGUGAGUAACGCGUAGGUAACCUGCCUGGUAGCGGGGGAUAACUAUUGGAAACGAUAGCUAAUACCGCAUAAUAGCAGUUGUUGCAUGACAACUGUUUGAAAGGUGCAAUUGCACCACUACCAGAUGGACCUGCGUUGUAUUAGCUAGUUGGUGGGGUAACGGCUCACCAAGGCGACGAUACAUAGCCGACCUGAGAGGGUGAUCGGCCACACUGGGACUGAGACACGGCCCAGACUCCUACGGGAGGCAGCAGUAGGGAAUCUUCGGCAAUGGACGGAAGUCUGACCGAGCAACGCCGCGUGAGUGAAGAAGGUUUUCGGAUCGUAAAGCUCUGUUGUAAGAGAAGAACGAGUGUGAGAGUGGAAAGUUCACACUGUGACGGUAUCUUACCAGAAAGGGACGGCUAACUACGUG
rnacentral:rRNA from 1 species